GAUGAACGCUAGCUACAGGCUUAACACAUGCAAGUCGAGGGGUAACGAGAGGAAAGCUUGCUUUCCUUGUCGACGACCGGCGCACGGGUGAGUAACGCGUAUCCAACCUGCCCCCAACUAGGGAAUAACCUUGCGAAAGUAAGACUAAUACCCUAUGAUUUUCUUUGAUGACAUCAAAUUAGGAAUAAAGAUUUAUCGGUUAUAGAUGGGGAUGCGUCUGAUUAGCUUGUUGGCGGGGUAACGGCCCACCAAGGCAACGAUCAGUAGGGGUUCUGAGAGGAAGGUCCCCCACAUUGGAACUGAGACACGGUCCAAACGCCUACGGGAGGAAGCAGUGAGGAAUAUUGGUCAAUGGGCGGAAGCCUGAACCAGCCAAGUAGCGUGCAGGAUGACGGCCCUAUGGGUUGUAAACUGCUUUUAUGCAGGAAUAAAGUUAGCCACGUGUGGUUAUUUGUAGGUACUGUAUGAAUAAGGACCGGCUAAUUCCGUGCCAGCAGCCGCCGUAAGAC
rnacentral:rRNA from 1 species